ensembl:lncRNA
CCCGGCUCCGGCCAGAGUGCCCCGCAGACUGGCCCCCCGCGUCCCCGCUCGAGAGGCAGGGGAGCUCCAGACUCUAGAAAGUGCGAGAAAGUCGGCCCGGGGCGGAGAACCCGCCGGGCCCCCUGUCUCCCCUUGUUGGGCGACUCGGGGGCCCCCCCAGGGGAUGCGAAGGCGGGCGGACUGUGGGGCGAAGGCUCUGGAGCGGCUGGAAGCCCGGGCCUGUGGCCGGUGGGGCCGCCGGGCCGGGCGCCUCAGGAGCAGCGCCUGUGGGGAGUGGGUUUGAAGGAGGAAGCAGGACGCGGGAGACACGUGUGAAGCACGUUGUCGGAGGUGAAGUCUGCGGAAGCCAAGGCCUUCUCCCGGUCAGAAAAGUCGGCGGGCGGCAGAGCGCCCUGUUGGCCGGCGUUCACCUUGGCUUGGGUGGCCUGGGUGCAGACGUCCCCCGCUCAGGGUUUCCUUAGCUCCCCGAAAGUGGGAAAGCCUCACUUUUACCUGGGGCGACGUUUCAAUACACAGAUCAUAAAAUCUCAGGAGAUGAGACUUGGAGUCCACCCACAAGUUCUGAAACUCCUCUCAAGUUUGCUGAUGAUAUUUUGAGAAGUUCAACAACCUGGAUGUCCUACCAAUAUCCUAUUGAUACUUCCCUGGCUGCUGAAGCCCAGGACCUUUAAUUCAGAAACAGGGAAAACAACUGAAGCCUUCGGAGAUGGGGAUACCAUGUUUUAGGAAAAGUACAAAAUGAAGAGUAAUCUCUCUGGAAUAUGAAGAACAAGAUGGGAAGGACUGCAGACACUAAGUCAGCUGCUAUUGCUAUCAGUCUCUCAGUUCAACAACAGCAAAAGAAAAGAUGAGGGGUAAAUGAAAUUCGGAUGCAGUGGGAGGAACAGAGGACUCAGGGGAUCUGCCCAGUGCAGCUAUUGAACCUACGUCUCCUGUAUCUCCUGCAUCAGCAAGUGGAUUCUUUACUGCUGGGCCACCAGGGA